rnacentral:rRNA from 1 species
UGGCGGACGGGUGAGUAAUGUCUGGGAAACUGCCCGAUGGAGGGGGAUAACUACUGGAAACGGUAGCUAAUACCGCAUAACGUCGCAAGACCAAAGAGGGGGACCUUCGGGCCUCUUGCCAUCGGAUGUGCCCAGAUGGGAUUAGCUAGUAGGUGGGGUAACGGCUCACCUAGGCGACGAUCCCUAGCUGGUCUGAGAGGAUGACCAGCCACACUGGAACUGAGACACGGUCCAGACUCCUACGGGAGGCAGCAGUGGGGAAUAUUGCACAAUGGGCGCAAGCCUGAUGCAGCCAUGCCGCGUGUAUGAAGAAGGCCUUCGGGUUGUAAAGUACUUUCAGCGAGGAGGAAGGCGUUGCGGUUAAUAACCGCACCGAUUGACGUUACUCGCAGAAGAAGCACCGGCUAACUCCGUGCCAGCAGCCGCGGUAAUACGGAGGGUGCAAGCGUUAAUCGGAAUUACUGGGCGUAAAGCGCACGCAGGCGGUCUGUCAAGUCGGAUGUGAAAUCCCCGGGCUCAAC